rnacentral:rRNA from 1 species
GACGAACGCUGGCGGCGUGCUUAACACAUGCAAGUCGAACGGAAAGGCCCUGCUUUUGUGGGGUGCUCGAGUGGCGAACGGGUGAGUAACACGUGAGUAACCUGCCCUUGACUUUGGGAUAACUUCAGGAAACUGGGGCUAAUACCGGAUAGGAGCUCCUGCUGCAUGGUGGGGGUUGGAAAGUUUCGGCGGUUGGGGAUGGACUCGCGGCUUAUCAGCUUGUUGGUGGGGUAGUGGCUUACCAAGGCUUUGACGGGUAGCCGGCCUGAGAGGGUGACCGGCAACAAUGGGACUGAGAUACGGCCCAGAAUCCUACGGGAGGCAGCAGGGGGGAAUAUUGCACAAUGGGCGGAAGCCUGAUGCAGCAACGCCGCGUGCGGGAUGACGGCCUUCGGGUUGUAAACCGCUUUCGACUGUGACGAAGCGUGAGUGACGGUAAUGGGUAAAGAAGCACCGGCUAACUACGUG